rnacentral:lncRNA from 1 species
GAAACAGCCCAAAUUAACAAAAAUAAUCAGUCCAGUUACAUUAAACACAAAAACUACAAGCCCAAACCCAAUAAGCCCAAAAAUCAGAAACCCUAAGCCCAAAUUAAUAGGCCCACAGCCUAAACAUUUUCAGCAGAAAUGAGCAAAAGAAACCCUAAAGCGCCGCUAGCCUCCUCGUCUGCCACAACCGCUGCAUGCGCGCCAGGCCAUCCUUCACGCGUGUCAGACCGCCUGCACACAAUAACAAUCCAAAGCAAAAAGCAAUAAAAAAUGAAAAAAAGUUGUAAUCCGGCUAUAAAGGCCGAAGCUUAUCACCGUUUUUUCUUCUUCGAUUUUCUUUGUAAAAAAAACCCACAUCAGAAAUCAAAAGCUGAAUAGAAAUUUUAAAGGGUUAAAUCCUUGUUAUUUACUCUUCGUUUUUUUCUUUUUUUCUUUUAUUUAUUUGUUUGUUUUAUUCUUUUUUUUCCUUUCUUUUGCAAAUCUAUUUUAAAUAACUAUAAAAUCAAAAGCAAAAAAAAUAAGGGGAAGUGAAACUCACCGGAGUUGGCCGUGACCGUGCCGCCGGGGGUCUCUCCUUCAUCGUUGGCCGUCGAUCUUUGUGGCUGUGGCGGUGGCGCUCCAGGUGUUAAGAAACCCAAGGGUUGGGUGUUUGAAAGAAAGGGGUUUAAAAAAAGGAGAGACUCUUUCAGUUUUCG